UACUUCAGCAUUUCCUGUACACAUUGGAAUAUAAUUCUGUAACUCACAUGUGUACUACUUGUGGUGUUAGCAAAGUCUCUCUUCUCAGGGAAUUCUGUAACAAAACAGGAGUACAGAUUACAUUGAAGGAUUAC